rnacentral:rRNA from 1 species
AUUGAACGCUGGCGGCAUGCUUUACACAUGCAAGUCGAACGGCGGCGCGGGCUUCGGCCUGGCGGCGAGUGGCGAACGGGUGAGUAAUACAUCGGAACGUGCCCAGUAGUGGGGGAUAGCUCGGCGAAAGCCGGAUUAAUACCGCAUACGACCUGAGGGUGAAAGCGGGGGAUCUUCGGACCUCGCGCUAUUGGAGCGGCCGAUGGCAGAUUAGCUAGUUGGUGGGGUAAAGGCCUACCGAGGCGACGACCUGUAGCUGGUCUGAGAGGACGACCAGCCACACUGGGACUGAGACACGGCCCAGACUCCUACGGGAGGCAGCAGUGGGGAAUUUUGGACAAUGGGCGAAAGCCUGAUCCAGCAAUGCCGCGUGUGUGAUGAAGGCCUUCGGGUUGUAAAGCACUUUUGGCGGGAACGAAAAGGACUGUGCCAAUACCACGGUUCGAUGACGGUACCCGCAGAAUAAGCACCGGCUAACUACGUG